UACGUAGGGUGCAAGCGUUGUCCGGAAUUAUUGGGCGUAAAGGGCUCGUAGGCGGUCCAUCGCGUCGGGAGUGAAAAGCUGGGGCUUAACCCCAGUCCUGCUUCCGAUACGGGUGGACUAGAGGUAGGUAGGGGAGAACGGAAUUCCUGGUGUAGCGGUGAAAUGCGCAGAUAUCAGGAGGAACACCGGUGGCGAAGGCGGUUCUCUGGGCCUUUCCUGACGCUGAGGAGCGAAAGCAUGGGGAGCAAACAGG
rnacentral:rRNA from 1 species